rnacentral:rRNA from 1 species
GAACGUCGUGAGACAGUUCGGUCCCUAUCUGCCGUGGGCGUUGGAGAAUUGAGGGAAGCUGCUCCUAGUACGAGAGGACCGGAGUGGACGAACCCCUGGUGUUCCGGUUGUGUCGCCAGACGCAUUGCCGGGUAGCUACGUUCGGAAGGGAUAACCGCUGAAAGCAUCUAAGCGGGAAGCCUCACCCAAGAUUAGUUCUCCCUGGCCCCUUGAGGGCCCUAAAGAGCCGUCCAAGACUAGGACGUUGAUAGGCUGGGUGUGGAAGCGUUGUAAGGCGUUGAGCUAACCAGUACUAAUUGCUCGU